GACGAACGCUGGCGGCGUGCUUAACACAUGCAAGUCGAACGGAAAGGCCCUUCGGGGUACUCGAGUGGCGAACGGGUGAGUAACACGUGGGUGAUCUGCCCUGCACUUUGGGAUAAGCCUGGGAAACUGGGUCUAAUACCGAAUAGGACUACGGCCUUCAUGGGUUGUGGUGGAAAGCUUUUGCGGUGUGGGGUGGGCCCGCGGCCUAUCAGCUUGUUGGUGGGGUAAUGGCCGACCAAGGCGACGACGGGUUGCCGGACUGGGAGGGUGAACGGCGACACUGGAAUUGGGAUACGGCCCAGACUCCGACGGGAGGCAGCAGUGGGGAAUAUUGCGCAAUGGGCGCAAGCCUGAUGCAGCGACGCCGCGUGAGGGAUGCCGGCCUUCGGGUUGUAAACCUCUUUCAGCAGGGACGAAGCGCAAGUGACGGUACCUGUAGAAGAAGGACCGGCCAACUACGUGCCAGCCGCCGCGGUAA
rnacentral:rRNA from 1 species